GAGGGUAAUGGCGACUAUGAAACCACCUACCUAUUUGGGCGCCAUGGUUGGUGGUGGAGUCAAUGGCGCAACCAGCCAACUAUUGC
rnacentral:ncRNA from 21 species